UACGGAGGGAGCUAGCGUUGUUCGGAAUUACUGGGCGUAAAGCGUGCGCAGGCGGUUUUGUAAGCCAGAUGUGAAAUCCCCGGGCUUUACCUGGGAAUGGCAUUUGGGACUGCAAGGCUUGAGUGCGGCAGAGGAGACUGGAAUUCCUGGUGUAGCAGUGAAAUGCGUAGAUAUCAGGAGGAACACCGAUGGCGAAGGCAGGUCUCUGGGCUGACACUGACGCUCAUGCACGAAAGCGUGGGGAGCAAACAGG
rnacentral:rRNA from 1 species